GCUAAGCUAAAGGUGGCUAAUGUUGGGCUAUAAAGGAACUACAGCACGGUCACAUGACUUCACGUCACCACCGCUAAGCUAAAGGCGGCUAAUGUUGGGCUAUAAAGGAACUGCAUUUUUGAGUUUCAGUAUAUUGUUGAUCAGUGGCAAACAAAAGUGUAUGAUACUUUUAAUUGUAGGUAGGUUUAAUCUCCACAUUAUGAUUUCUGAAGUAAAAAGCUAACGUUGGGCUAUAAAUGAACUACAGCACGGUCACAUGACUUCACAUCACCACCCCUAAGCUAAAGGCGGCUAAUGUUGGGUGUUAUGACGUUUAGUCGUCAGAUUUAGACUCUUCUUAGCAACCGCCGCGUUUUAAAUCCACCAAUGGGGUAUUUUCUGACGUAUUUGUGGUAUAUGUGGUAGAACUAAAAUCUAUUCAGCUUGUGUUAACACAGACCUUAUUUCAACCAAAAACACAUUAAAAAAAACACUUGAGUGGAAGACGUAGGGACCAGAAAAGUGUAAAAUUCUAAAUAAUGUUCAGGCCAUUCUAUAUCAGAUCACAACAGUACUCAAACAAGAAGACUUAAAGGAUAAAAGGUGAGGCUCCCUACAGAUUAACGGCUGCACUAUCAUUGAUAUACAACUACAGAACAGAAUUGUAGUAUUAUUGUUGUAUUGUUUUAAGUGUCGGACCCCAGGAAGAGUAGCUUUUGUCAAGAGCAAAAGCUACUGGGGAUCCUUAAUAAACAUAAACAGGACAAUUACACCUGCAAUUGUCUGGUCGCCAUCUUCCCAUCUUUCUGCUAGACUUCAUUUCACUGACAGUCACUCAUUAUUUACGUGCUUUAUGGAAAGACAAGUUGAACUGAGGUUAACCACUCUGCCAAAUGGUCUGCCCUCAGUUUCUGCUAACACUUGCAGGCGCAGCUCAACGAGGUCAAGGUCAAACUGUCAAACUGAAGCUGCAGGAUCUCAUUAAGCAGCCAUUGACAUCCCACAUGAUUCUAUUAGGAGUCACUCUAAUCAGAGGGAAAAUGACCCUCUGCUGUCGACAGCCUAAUCAUCAAUUACUGAAAUAACUGUGUGUGGACUGAGGUAAACUGUAAUGUCACACAACUACCUUUAGACAGACACAUCAACGUCAAAGAUUCAAAGGUUUUAUUGCCAUAUACACAUAAAAAAUAGUGCAAGAAGUCUAUAUACACUUAAAUAGAAUAUGAUAUACAAGAACAGAAUGUAUAAUUAAAUAUUGUACAGUAAGAUCAAAUGAAAUACGGUUUAUUGCGGUGAUAACUAAUUAGAUAAAUAAGUAUUUUGUGUGUUUCUAUAAUGUUACAACAGACUAAUUUUGGGGUGUGUUAUAUAGGUGUGUGUGCAUGUUAACGGUCUGCAAAGGCCAAAAUCCCUGUGUUCCCUAUCACAGCAUUUGUUAAAUUUGCUAUAACUAUAACAUGUUUUGUGAUUUGUUUGGAGCAUGCUGCCCUUUACCUCACCUCAUGUGUCCUUGUUAAUGGACUGGUCUUGAAGCAGAAUAUGGUUGUAACAUGUUUUUGUUUUGUGUGCCGAAUAGGGAAAGCGUUAAAAUUGAUACAAAAUAAAAAGCAGGGGUCUGAGCUCAUGCGGGACCCGGCAGCUACCGUCUAAACUAAAUGCUGCCGUGAUGAAACGCCAUAUCAUGGAUAUCAAGGAUUCUCUCUGAAACAGUUUGGAGCUCAAAGGCUUUCUCUCUUGCCGGUUAUACCACAAGAAGAACCAAUAUAACCUGUAUCAUCCUCAUCGCGGCUCGCUCUCCUGGCUGCUGUCCAGCUUCUGCUGAAAGAAAAAAACCCAACAAAGGAGAGAAGAAAUAGGAUGAAUAUGAAUGAGUUCUGAACUUCCUUUUCCCAUAGUGUGUAUUUCAAAAUGAUGUGCUACGCAUGUGCUUGAAAGAUAGUUAUCUGCCGUGGUGUGACAUGCACAUAAUGCUGUGUGAUUCUGGGAGCAUGUGAAUAACUUUGUCCAUGAUUAAACCGUUUUUCUAUAA